AAAGUCGUAACAAGGUUUCCGUAGGUGAACCUGCGGAAGGAUCAUUACUGAAUAUGGAAUAUCUUAUUCUUAAACCCACACUGAGUACUUGUACUUGUUGCUUCCGUGGGCAGCGAAUGUUGUGUUUGCGCCUGCUGAUGAAGUGGACCCACGGGAGACACCAAUAAACUCUGCCUUUUUGUGAUAUAUAGUCUGACUCUGUUUAUUCUUUAAACGUUAAAACUUUCAACAACGGAUCUCUUGGUUCUC
rnacentral:misc_RNA from 1 species